GGCGCCAGGCGCUCCGGCCGCAAGGGAGCAGGGAGCCCUGCCAGCUGGGCCACCCGAGGGGCGUUGCGGGGCUCCGGGCGGGGUCGACCCGGGGGGCUCCGUCGGGCCCCACCAGCCUUGCGCCUUUUUCGCUCGGUCUCCUUGGCCUCCCGCUCCUGCGACGCCGCUUUCCUUUUCUCUUGCUCCCGAGCUCGGACCUCGGCCAGGGGCCCCGCCCGCCAGUUGGUCGCCUCCUGCAGCACCCUGGAGGCCCAGGGCCGGCGGGGCGGCGGCUGUGGGGAUCCCGGGCGCGGCCCACACCUGGGACAAUGAGCAGGAACCCAGGCUUUCAUCAUGUUGCCCAGGCUGAUGCUGAACUCCUGAGCUCAAGCAAUCCACUUGCCUUGGCCUCCCAAAGUACUGGCAUUACAGGCGUGAGCCACCACACCUGGCUGAGUUUUCUUUUUCCUCUUUUUAACUUCUACCCCAGAGCCUAAUCCAGUACAUAAAGUGUAAAGGCUAAAUUAGAAAAUCUAUAUAAAAAUGCUUUGUAAACCAUAAUACAUUUACAAGUAAGUAGAAUAUGACAUGUCAUUUUAAAUUUAAUGGAAUUAGACUCCUUAUUUUUGUUUAAGAUUAUCCUGAUUAGUCAGAAUUGGCUCCCUUGCCUGGGAGACCAACUGCGAAUCAUUUUAGUACUUUGGUCGGUUUUCUUUUUGAAAACCUGAAAGAAACAACCUCUCUGUGAGCAGAGAAACGGUGUGGCAAAGAAUUACUCUGGGCAUGUAAUCCAAAGCAAAGUGAACCUGCAGUCCUUUCGUAACUACAGUAGCAGAUGAUAAAAACCAAGAUGGAAAGAGUUACUCUGCCUGAAAGAAGACACAUGGUUAAAAACUGUGGAGAGGGAAGUGUAUGGGAGGGGUUACAGAGCGCUAGAAAAAGACUCCUGAGAGUGAGGGUGGGUGCAAACAUGUAGCAGGCAACCCGCAGCAUCUGUGGGAGGGUGACAGGGCCCUGCCACAAUUGGUCAAUGCCUGCUCGCCAAGAAUGAGCUAUGCCAAAACCCCUGCUUAGAGUCGCAGAGCGGGCCAUGACCUAAAAUUGUCCAGGGACACAUCGGCCUCUAACACUGCAAGAUUUCCUCUUUCAAGCAAACCUCAAUUCUCGGUCUUAUUAAGGGAAUGUGACUUCACUGGACGCAGUAUAAAGAUCUUCAGAUGUCCUCCUGCCGGGGAUUGCAGGGAUCACAGAAAGACCAUCGAGGUCCAGGAGCUACCUGCAAGCGGAGAUCCCUCUGGACGCCCCGUGCCUCACCCAGCAAAGCCGGCUCACAACCCUGCGCUCUCAAACCUCUAAAAGGGCUUGAGGUGCCAAUAGGAAAGGAGGCCCGAGAUUGCCACGGCAUACGUGGGCCCCAAGGAGGGAGCCAGGAGUCACUGCCUGCUUGGGCUAAGGGUACCGCGUACGGAAAGGCGGCGGGGACGCGGCCCAGUUCCAGGAGAUGCGCCCAACGAAGAAGCGGAGGAACAGGGUCACGGGAUAGGGCAGACACCCGGCUGCUUUUUGUUUGCUAGACACCAGCGCCAGCCCCUGCCCGGCCCUCCCGGUCUCCUAAGGGUUGGGGGGGUGUCUUAGGCUCCACAGCGCCCCCGACCGCCCUCCUGCACUCCUCACCGUCUCCAUUGCAAGAGGCGCCCGGCUUGGUUUCCUCGCUUUAGGAAACUCUCUUGGGGCAGGCCCCGCCCCACAUCCGGUGCGGCGACGCCACUUCCGCCCACGUCAUGGCAGUCGCCAGACUGGGGCGGAAGGCAAGGAACCCACCCUUCCGGCGGUGGCGGGCCUCGGUAACCGCCCUCCCCCGGGUCCUCGCGGACCGCACGGAUCCGGCUGACGGCGAGGGUCAUGGGACGGAGCCGCUUGUAUUUAAAAUGUUCUUUUUUUAUUUGUCGUUUAAAAACAAACUUGGAAGAAGCAAAAUCCAAAACUUGCCCUUUGCCUCUCGCAACAUAAAUAUGUACAGUUCAGAAUGAUCGCUGAUACAAAACAUGCCAAGGACAGGGGCGCUGAGGGUGGAGGGAGAGAGGGCGCUUUAAAAAAGGGAACCAUUUCAUCCGUUGUUACGAAGGACCAACCUUGCUGUACAGGAUACACACAACACAAAAUAAAGUCUUCACGGGAUUCACACUUGUCAGCGAUUUAUUUUUUAAAAAGGGGGAGGGUCCUGGAGGUGAGGGGAGAAGACUGUAAAGGGGAAAACUGAAAACUGAGUAUGUGCGAGUGUAAACCAACCCAAAAUACAAACACGGGGGCGGGGGGUGGGGUGGGGGAUUCUGAUGCAAUUAUACAGGCAGGGUACUUAAAAAAAAAACCAACCAAAAUUCCAACCUUGUAGCUUGGGUCUGAGUUAUAGUUUAUAUAAAAAUUAAAAACUGUAUAAGGUUUCUUCACUAAAUUCUACAGGACUAUCGGAUACCUAGCAUAUGCUUACAAAGUCUGCCCCAUCCCCUUUUCCCAAUCCCAGGGCCCAAGCCCCAAACACAGCCUGACUCACGGGAGCCAAUCUCCCCCUCCCUGUAGCCUAGACCUUCUGCUCUCGGAAAAGGAACAUCCAAGGGCUGUGGCUUUGAGGGCAGCAGCCCAGUCUUCCUACUGUCUGAUUUAAUUACAGCGGUUCCUGUGGGAGUGGGGGCUGUUAUUCUCUUAAACAUUUGCAGCUUGAAACAGUUGAGGAAGCAGCUUUAAAAAAAAAAAAUCUCCCUACCCCCAACAAUCCACAACCCCCCAAAUUCAAAACAAAACAAAAACAAACCUAAAAUCACAACAGCGACCAAGCUCCCCCUCCAGCAGGCCCGCCCGUCCACCACCACCAAGCCCACCCCUACACUCCAGACAUCUGAUUCUUGAAAAUAUUAAUUACAAAAUGCCCUUUGCCCACAGCCCCUAGAAGAGAACUGCAUAUAAGCUUCAUCUUCAUCCCCACGGUUCCCUACCAGAGAGGGGUUUGGGGCCUCACCCACCCCUUACCUACUCCCACCCCCAGGAAGAGGUUCAACUGCAGCACAAGCUUGGGCAGAAAGGGGAAGGAAAGGGAGGCAAGGAACCCAUCACCCUCUGGCUCCCCCUGGGGUCAGCUCUCUUUUGUGCGUUAUAACAUAGUCCAACUAUACAACAGGGGGUGGGAAUUGCCCAGCCUCUAUACCCCCAUCUUACAGCAGUCACAGCCAGGGGGUGGGGAGUGGGGUGGGGGGUGAGGAAAAGGGCGGUAGGUCGGGUAAUGGAGGGGGCCCCCCCACAAGGGGAGCUCCAUGUGUCCGCCCCACACCCCCCUACCAUUUAUAAACUGGUUUUGUAAAAAGAAAAUAGAUAUAUUUAUAUAGAAUAUAUAAAGCACAAAAAUUAGUAGUUUUACAUUUGCUCUCCCCGGGGGGUGGGGGGAGAGGGGAG
rnacentral:lncRNA from 1 species